rnacentral:rRNA from 1 species
AUUGAACGCUGGCGGCAGGCCUAACACAUGCAAGUCGAGCGGAUGAAGGGAGCUUGCUCCUGGAUUCAGCGGCGGACGGGUGAGUAAUGCCUAGGAAUCUGCCUGGUAGUGGGGGAUAACGUCCGGAAACGGGCGCUAAUACCGCAUACGUCCUGAGGGAGAAGUGGGGGAUCUUCGGACCUCACGCUAUCAGAUGAGCCUAGGUCGGAUUAGCUAGUUGGUGGGGUAAAGGCCUACCAAGGCGACGAUCCGUAACUGGUCUGAGAGGAUGAUCAGUCACACUGGAACUGGGACACGGUCCAGACUCCUACGGGAGGCAGCAGUGGGGAAUAUUGGACAAUGGGCGAAAGCCUGAUCCAGCCAUGCCGCGUGUGUGAAGAAGGUCUUCGGAUUGUAAAGCACUUUAAGUUGGGAGGAAGGGCAGUAAGUUAAUACCUUGCUGUUUUGACGUUACCAACAGAAUAAGCACCGGCUAACUUCGUG